rnacentral:rRNA from 1 species
AACUAACAAGGAUUCCCCUAGUAACUGCGAGUGAAGCGGGAAAAGCUCAAAUUUAAAAUCUGGCAGUCUUUGGCUGUCCGAGUUGUAAUCUAGAGAAGUAUUAUCCGCGCUGGACCGUGUACAAGUCUCCUGGAAUGGAGCGUCAUAGAGGGUGAGAAUCCCGUCUUUGACACGGACUGCCAGGGCUUUGUGAUGUGCUCUCAAAGAGUCGAGUUGUUUGGGAAUGCAGCUCAAAAUGGGUGGUAAAUUCCAUCUAAAGCUAAAUAUUGGCGAGAGACCGAUAGCGAACAAGUACCGUGAGGGAAAGAUGAAAAGAACUUUGGAAAGAGAGUUAAACAGUACGUGAAAUUGCUGAAAGGGAAACGCUUGAAGUCAGUCGCGUUGGCCAGGGAUCAACCUUGCUUUUUUGCUUGGCUUACUUCCUGGUUAAUGGGUCAGCAUCAAUUUUGACUGGUGGAAAAAGUUCAAGGGAAUGUGGCAUCUUCGGAUGUGUUAUAGCCUUUGCUCGCAUACAUCAGUUGGGAUUGAGGAACUCAGCACGCCGCAAGGCCGGGUUUUAAACCACGUACGUGCUUAGGAUGCUGGCAUAAUGGCUUUAAUCGACCCGUCUUGAAACACGGACCAAGGAGUCUAACAUGCCUGCGAGUGUUUGGGUGGAAAACCCGAGCGCGUAAUGAAAGUGAAAGUUGAGAUCCCUGUCGUGGGGAGCAUCGACGCCCGGAUCUGACCUUUUGUGACGAUUCCGCGGUAGAGCAUGUAUGUUGGGACCCGAAAGAUGGUGAACUAUGCCUGAAUAGGGUGAAGCCAGAGGAAACUCUGGUGGAGGCUCGUAGCGAUUCUGACGUGCAAAUCGAUCGUCAAAUUUGGGUAUAGGGGCGAAAGACUAAUCGAACCAUCUAGUAGCUGGUC